rnacentral:lncRNA from 1 species
GGUGGGAAGGACCCAAACAGGAGCAGCCAGGCAGCGGUGCGAGCACAGCUCUGGGCACAACCCAGGGCGGGCUCAGGGUAGGAGCCUGGAAUUGCCACUGUGGAACUGGAUCUCGGCUGUGUAGAAACUCGCCUCUGGUGACCUGGCAUGAGAGAGCAGAAUUUACCUUUCUUAGUGUGGCAAGCGUCUCUCAAAUGAGAAAAAUGUAUCCAGCUCGCUCUCUUGGAGAUGCAGAUGCAAUGAGAUGAGCAGGAGAUUCUGUGAUACAGAUCUUCAUUUAUCAGCAGGAGGA